rnacentral:rRNA from 1 species
CGCCACCUAGGCGACGAUCCCUAGCUGGUCUGAGAGGAUGACCAGCCACACUGGAACUGAGACACGGUCCAGACUCCUACGGGAGGCAGCAUG